AUUGAACGCUGGCGGCAGGCCUAACACAUGCAAGUCGAACGCGUGGCGGACGGGUGAGUAAUGUCUGGGAAACUGCCUUAUGGAGGGGGAUAACUACUGGAAACGGUAGCUAAUACCGCAUACCAUCCGAUGUUCCCAGAUGGGAUUCGCUAGUAGGUGGGGUAAUGGCUCACCUAGGCCACGAUCCCUAGCUGGUCUGAGAGGAUGACCAGCCACACUGGAACUGAGACACGGGCCAGACUCCUACGGGAGGCAGCAGUGGGGAAUAUUGCACAAUGGGCGAAAGCCUGAGGCAGCCAUGCCGCGUGUGUGAAGAAGGCCUUCGGGUUGUAAAGCACUUUCAGCGAGGAGGCGUUACUCGCAGAAGAAGCACCGGCUAACUCCGUGCCAGCCGCCGCGGUAAUUC
rnacentral:rRNA from 1 species